UACGACUACAUAUCAGGCAUAUCAAUAAGCGGAGGAAAAGAAACUAACAAGGAUUCCCUUAGUAACGGCGAGUGAAGCGGGAAGAGCUCAAAUUUGAAAUCUUCAAGGUUUUACCUUGACGAAUUGUAGUUUAAAGAAGUGUUUUCUGUUGAAGUUUUGGUAAAAGUUCUUUGGAAUAGGACAUCAUAGAGGGUGAGAAUCCCGUAUUUGACCAUUAUUUUCAGCUGUGUGAUACACUUUCAAAGAGUCGGAUUGUUUGGGAAUGCAGUCCAGAAUGGGUGGUAAAUUUCAUCUAAAGCUAAAUAUUGGCGAGAGACCGAUAGCGAACAAGUACCGUGAGGGAAAGAUGAAAAGAACUUUGAAAAGAGAGUUAAACAGUACGUGAAAUUGUCAAAAGGGAAGCGUUUGACACCAGUGUUGUUUUCUCGAAAAUCAAUUAAAAAUAGUUGGAUUUUGUGUUGUAUUGACCUUAACAGCUUGCUUCACUCUUUUCCAGCUUUUUUUAAUGCACUUUUCGUUUAACAAGUCAACAUCAGUUUCUUUUGUUGUAAAAGGGUCAUUGGAAGGUGGCUUUCUUUCGGAGAAAGUGUUUAUAGCCUUUGCUCUCUGCAAUCGGAGAGAUUGAGGUCUGCAGCGUAGAUCCUUCGGGGUUAGAUACAUUUGUGCUAAGUUAUAGCCUUUCAUAGACAACUUGUUGACUAUGAUCAGUCAUGUGACUUACUCGCUUAUGCUAUUUUACCUACGCUUAGGAUGUUGAGCGCAUGUCUCUCUCU
rnacentral:rRNA from 1 species